UGCAAGUCGAGCGCAGGAACUGACGGAACUCUUCGGAGGGAAGGCAGUGGAAUGAGCGGCGGACGGGUGAGUAACACGUAAGGAACCUGCCUCAAGGAUUGGGAUAACUCCGAGAAAUCGGAGCUAAUACCGGAUAGUUCAACGGACCGCAUGGUCCGCUGAUGAAAGGCGCUUCGGCGUCACCUUGAGAUGGCCUUGCGGUGCAUUAGCUAGUUGGUGGGGUAACGGCCCACCAAGGCGACGAUGCAUAGCCGACCUGAGAGGGUGAUCGGCCACACUGGGACUGAGACACGGCCCAGACUCCUACGGGAGGCAGCAGUAGGGAAUCUUCCACAAUGGACGAAAGUCUGAUGGAGCAACGCCGCGUGAGUGAUGAAGGUUUUCGGAUCGUAAAACUCUGUUGUAAGGGAAGAACACGUACGAGAGGAAAUGCUCGUACCUUGACGGUACCUUACGAGAAAGCCACGGCUAACUACGUGCCAGCAGCCGCGGUAAUACGUAGGUGGCAAGCGUUGUCCGGAAUUAUUGGGCGUAAAGCGCGCGCAGGCGGCCUUUUAAGUCUGAUGUGAAAGCCCCCGGCUCAACCGGGGAGGGCCAUUGGAAACUGGAAGGCUUGAGUACAGAAGAGAAGAGUGGAAUUCCACGUGUAGCGGUGAAAUGCGUAGAGAUGUGGAGG
rnacentral:rRNA from 1 species